UUGGUUCUAGUGUUGAUAUCUGUUUGGUUCUAGUCUCCUGGGAGACUAGAACCAAACAGAUAUCAACACUAGAACC
rnacentral:pre_miRNA from 1 species